rfam:Phaseolus vulgaris cultivar G19833 chromosome 11, whole genome shotgun sequence.
GCUGAGCUGGGUUACUCCAGCUUGUGACCCAAGUGGGAGCAUUACUGUGAUGGAACAACAUUGAGGCUUGCUGGGUUGGACUGUGUUUGCAAUUUGUUGGCCUGCCCACUCCAAGUUGAGAGUUGAGUCUGGGGACUUUAGUGAAGGCUAAGGUCUCUUGGCUCUUAGAGUGGAGGGCACAGCGUGAGGCUGGUUUCACAGAGCAGCGACCACCUCCCAUUCCCAACAGUGGAAGGAUCACAGGCUGCUGCAUCCAUGGUUCACAAUGGCCUAGUGAGUCUAUUCUGCUUGGACCAUCACUUUU